UCUGUUCCUUUUUUUCCCUCCUCCUUUUUAUUACGUAGGGGGCAAGCGUUAUCCGGAUUUACUGGGUGUAAAGGGAGCGUAGACGGAUGGACAAGUCUGAUGUGAAAGGCUGGGGCUCAACCCCGGGACUGCAUUGGAAACUGCCCGUCUUGAGUGCCGGAGAGGUAAGCGGAAUUCCUAGUGUAGCGGUGAAAUGCGUAGAUAUUAGGAGGAACACCAGUGGCGAAGGCGGCUUACUGGACGGUAACUGACGUUGAGGCUCGAAAGCGUGGGGAGCAAACAGG
rnacentral:rRNA from 1 species